UUAUUAGAUUAAAAACCAAUGCCCUUCGGGGCUUCUUGGUGAUUCAUGAUAACUUCUCGAAUCGCAUGGCCUUGCGCCGGCGAUGGUUCAUUCAAAUUUCUUCCCUAUCAACUUUCGAUGCGAGGGUAUUGUCCUCGCAUGGUUACAACGGGUAACGGAGGGUUAGGGCUCGACCCCGGAGAAGGAGCCUGAGAAACGGCUACUACAUCCAAGGAAGGCAGCAGGCGCGCAAAUUACCCAAUCCCGAUACGGGGAGGUAGUGACAAUAAAUACUGAUACAGGGCUCUUUUGGGUCUUGUAAUCGGAAUGAGUACAAUUUAAAUCCCUUAACGAGGAACAAUUGGAGGGCAAGUCUGGUGCCAGCAGCCGCGGUAAUUCCAGCUCCAAUAGCGUAUAUUAAAGUUGUUGUGGUUAAAAAGCUCGUAGUUGAACCUUGGGCCUGGCUACAAGGACCGCCUCACCGCGAGAUCUUUCCGUAGCCGGGUCUUUCCCACUGUGGAACCCCAUGGCCUUCACUGGUUGUGGCGGGGAAACAGGACUUUUACUUUGAAAAAAUUAGAGUGCUCCAGGCAGGCCUAUGCUCGAAUACAUUAGCAUGGAAUAAUAGAAUAGGACGCGUGGUUCUAUUUUGUUGGUUUCUAGGACCGCCGUAAUGAUUAAUAGGGACAGUCGGGGGCAUCAGUAUUCAAUUGUCAGAGGUGAAAUUCUUGGAUCUAUUGAAGACUAACUACUGCGAAAGCAUUUGCCAAGGAUGUUUUCAUUGAUAAGGAACGAAAGUUAGGGGAUCGAAGACGAUCAGAUACCGUCGUAGUCUUAACUAUAAACUAUGCCGACUAGGGAUCGGACGAUGUUAUUUUUUGACUCGUUCG
rnacentral:rRNA from 1 species